GACGAACGCUGGCGGCGUGCCUAAUACAUGCAAGUCGAGCGGACGGAUGGGAGCUUGCUCCCAGACCGUCAGCGGCGGACGGGUGAGUAACACGUGGGCAACCUGCCUGUAAGACUGGGAUAACUCCGGGAAACCGGGGCUAAUACCGGAUAACUCUUUCCCUCACAUGAGGGAAAGCUGAAAGAUGGCAUCUCGCUAUCACUUACAGAUGGGCCCGCGGCGCAUUAGCUAGUUGGUGAGGUAACGGCUCACCAAGGCGACGAUGCGUAGCCGACCUGAGGGGGUGAUCGGCCACACUGGGACUGAGACACGGCCCAGACUCCUACGGGAGGCAGCAGUAGGGAAUCUUCCGCAAUGGACGAAAGUCUGACGGAGCAACGCCGCGUGAGUGAUGAAGGUUUUCGGAUCGUAAAACUCUGUUGUCAGGGAAGAACAAGUACCGGAGUAACUGCCGGUACCUUGACGGUACCUGACCAGAAAGCCACGGCUAACUACGUG
rnacentral:rRNA from 1 species